AGUGUACCAAAUCGUACAAGUAAUAUAAAUGGUAAGACCAAGUAUCGUUUUCCCAAGACACUCGAAUGGCUUUCUCAUUCGUGUGAAUUAAAAUAAUAAGACUUGAAAAUAAAAAUUAAUAAGUUGGAUUUGAGAACAAAAAUAUUAACAUGUAAAAUAAAGUUGAUUCAAUUGACAAACGAAAACAAUGGACGAAUGGAUGUUGUUGGGGGUUCACAAUUUCAUCUAAUCCGCUCUCUCUUACCUACUCCUCAUGAAUAUUAGUUUGAUUAAUUAAUUGUUAUGCNACUUUCUUAGCCUCCCCUUAACCCGAUCCCUCAGCGAAAAGGGCCUAAUAUUAACUACUGGCUUGUUAUACCCAGCCUCCCCUAGUAAUUAAUACCGCAUUAUAAACAGAAGUUAGCACAAUUGAUCGUCCUACCCCUAUCCCUAGGUGGUAUUGCAAAAUCAAGAAAUUACUCACCAGUUCAUNNNNNNNNNNNNNNNNNNNNNNNNNNNNNNNNNNNNNNNNNNNNNNNNNNNNNNNNNNNNNNNNNNNNNNNNNNNNNNNNNNNNNNNNNNNNNNNNNNNNNNNNNNNNNNNNNNNNNNNNNNNNNNNNNNNNNNNNNNNNNNNNNNNNNNNNNNNNNNNNNNNNNNNNNNNNNNNNNNNNNNNNNNNNNNNNNNNNNNNNNNNNNNNNNNNNNNNNNNNNNNNNNNNNNNNNNNNNNNNNNNNNNNNNNNNNNNNNNNNNNNNNNNNNNNNNNNNNNNNNNNNNNNNNNNNNNNNNNNNNNNNNNNNNNNNNNNNNNNNNNNNNNNNNNNNNNNNNNNNNNNNNNNNNNNNNNNNNNNNNNNNNNNNNNNNNNNNNNNNNNNNNNNNNNNNNNNNNNNNNNNNNNNNNNNNNNNNNNNNNNNNNNNNNNNNNNNNNNNNNNNNNNNNNNNNNNNNNNNNNNNNNNNNNNNNNNNNNNNNNNNNNNNNNNNNNNNNNNNNNNNNNNNNNNNNNNNNNNNNNNNNNNNNNNNNNNNNNNNNNNNNNNNNNNNNNNNNNNNNNNNNNNNNNNNNNNNNNNNNNNNNNNNNNNNNNNNNNNNNNNNNNNNNNNNNNNNNNNNNNNNNNNNNNNNNNNNNNNNNNNNNNNNNNNNNNNNNNNNNNNNNNNNNNNNNNNNNNNNNNNNNNNNNNNNNNNNNNNNNNNNNNNNNNNNNNNNNNNNNNNNNNNNNNNNNNNNNNNNNNNNNNNNNNNNNNNNNNNNNNNNNNNNNNNNNNNNNNNNNNNNNNNNNNNNNNNNNNNNNNNNNNNNNNNNNNNNNNNNNNNNNNNNNNNNNNNNNNNNNNNNNNNNNNNNNNNNNNNNNNNNNNNNNNNNNNNNNNNNNNNNNNNNNNNNNNNNNNNNNNNNNNNNNNNNNNNNNNNNNNNNNNNNNNNNNNNNNNNNNNNNNNNNNNNNNNNNNAGGGCGUAAUUCGGUCCAAAUUGACAUAUGAAAAUAAUUGUUUUUCAACCUUCAUCAACAACCCCAAACUUAGAACUUUGCUUGUCCUCAAGCAAAACAAAACAAAACACACAAAACAAAACUUGGCUUUAUACUUUUUCAUCCAAUGCCUCAACAAUCCCAAGGUACUUGACAAAACUACUCAAUUCAAUAUCCUCAGUGAAAUCCAAGAUAAGAUGCAUGCAUGCUUUCAAUCUAGAGAUUGCACAACAGAGGUUAUACAUUAUGAAUGACCAAUCCACUAAGCAAAAAUGCACUCAUGAAAAUUAACAGUUUAUACCAAGCAAGUGUUUCACUCAAUCACUCAAGUGUAAAAGGUGACACUCCAUUUCUCUAUUGUUCACAAGUCACAUGAAACAAAAUUGCCAUUCAUCUCAAACAAUCAACAUCUUUACAUGCAAAUGUCAUCAAAAGGACUUUUCAAGGCUUGUAAUGAGGUUGGGCUAACAAGAAAAAUUGGUUUUUCUAGAAUGCAAAAUCCUUGAGUCAAGAGAACUAUCAAAAUAUUCAACAAUUAAGCACAACUUUCUCACCAAAAUUUCUCAUUCCCAACUUCUUCCCUUUUCUUUUCUUUUUCAUUGAGCUCAUCUUCAUGCUUUUCUUCUUUUCUUUUCUUUUUCUCAUGAUUUUUUCUCUUUUCACAACAAUUGAGCUCAAUGCCUUUUUCUUGCUUUUUCAAUUUUCCCCCGUACAACCCCAAACUUCAACCUUUUCAUCACAUACAAUUAAGCUCAUCCCAAAUCAAGGUAAAGAACUUCAAAACAAGGGUUCAUAUACUGUUUAAGGCUAAGGUUCAAAAAAGGUUAUAAUAUUUCAAGCAUUUUGGGUGAACAUUUGGCUAGAGAAGGGGCUUUCAAGAAUGGCCUUGAUCAUAUGACAUUCACAUGCAAUUCAAUCGAUCAUCAAGAUUAAGGCAAUAUCAUCCAUAUUUUCCUGUGAACAAUGCAUACAACAAUAAAAACUCUGGAGCUCAAAAUCUCACACACAUGCUUUCUCACACAAAAUUCAUUCAUACACCCUGCCUAGCAUCAUGACCACAAUCAUAAAUUCAUCACACAUCUAUUUCCUGGAUACCAACAUGCAUUGCAACUCAAUUCUCAUCCACAUCAAAUAAUCAUCAAAUAGAUCCAUCAUACACAUCAGUUAGUCAAACAUUUUCAGAACAAGUGUUAAAGCCAAGAGUACACACCAAAAUAAAAAUUCAACCUUUUCUAAGAAUUUAAGAUGCAAUAAAAUAAAAGGAAAAGAAAGAAAAACUAAAUCCUGUCUAAGGACAUCCCUCAGUAGAUGUCUGCUAUCAACCCAUGCUGUCAUCGGAGUCCUCCUGAAUCUCAUCAUCUGCGUCCUCAAAGUUCUCUUCCUCAGUGUUCGGAGCUCCAGCUGCUCCAAACCCACUACUCUGCGCCUGCUGCUCAGGCCAUGCCACAACUGUAUGAAACUCAUCCAUAGUCCACCUGUGUACAGGUUGCUGGUCAUAAAGUCCAAUGAUCAUCUCAGUAGUAGCCACCUGCCCUUUGUGAAGGGCCUCCAUCCGAGCCUCCAUCAUGGACAUGUACAUGUCCCUCAUCUGGAAGGGCUCCACGUGCUGAACUGGUACCUCAUCAGGUACCUACUCCUGCUGAGCUGUAGCUCUCCUACGACGCCUUCGGGGUGCUACCCCUGCUGCAUCUGUUGCACCUGCUGCUCCAGCCACAACAUAAAACUGGUGGAAAUAUGCUGCAUCAAUGGCAUUUCUCAGUCUCUCAUAUGGGGGAACUACAAUGUUCACCCCGGCCUACUGGCACAAAAAAGUGAUCAAAGAUGGAUGCCCCAAUGGCAUCCUGCUACUCACGGUCAUAGCACAGCUCCUGAUCUCGUCGGCAAUGAUUUGGCCGACAUUUACCUCCAUCUGUCUCAUCAAGCAGAAAAUGAGACGAACUCUGUGAAUCGUGAUAUCUGAGAUGUGGGAGCACGGUUGGAUGUUGGCAUGUGUGAAUGCCAUCCAAUAUCUGCCUAAGGGUACCAUAUCCAACUGUCGAAUGUUCACCGGUGCACCGCUAGCGUUAGGUUGAAAGUGUCUACCAGGAAGACACACAACCUCCUCAAUUUCCGCUACAUUAUCAAACACACUAGCAUGUGCCACAUACUGGCACUGCUCUCCUGGCCACUCUGUUCCCAAGAAGCUGUUAAUGGUAUCGGGGUCAUAAUUAAUAGUUUGCCCCCUCACAAAGCUCAAAUAUCGCCAAGCAGCCACUCCUCCUUUGGGCACCGCGUUGGUGUAGAAUUCUUUUACCAAUUCCACACUAGCAGGUGCAGGGUAGGUUGUCAACCUCUCCUAGUCUCUCCUCAAAAUCUCCUCUUCAAAUUCAGGAGCCAAAUCAGGUAUGAAGGAAGCCUUCCUCUCCAUUAGCAAUCUCCUUUCUUGCACAGUAGCAAAGUGCUCCUCAUGUUGUUUGGAGAGGAAUCUUUGAGAGUCAAAUCCUCUCGAGCUUUCUGACAUCUUCCUUUUUCCUCCAAUAUUUCUUGUUCGGCGCGAAGCUGAUGCCAUUUCUGCAAUAAACACAAUUUACCAAAAACCACAGAAAUCUAUUGUUAGGAGUUAAUGCAUCAACUAACACUUUCAACCCAACAAAAUCUACAACUAUGGGUGCUCAGGGUCUCCCUUUCACAAUGCAAACAAACCACAAAAACGCAACAAACCGCCCGACGGUACAGAGGCUUACCGCCCGGCGAUCUGCGCCAGGUUGAAUAUCGCCCGGCGGCAAAGGCAUACCGCCCGGCAGUGAGAGGGGUUUUCAAAAUUUUUCCACAAAUCAAACCUAAUCUCCACUCAAAUGCUAAUUCCUAUCAGGCAAAUCAAUUUCAAACAACUUAAUCGGUCAAAAACAGUUCCCAAUUCAACAAUCUAUGCAAAGAAUCUCAAAACCCUAAGUCACCCAAUUUCUAAGCAUGUUCAUCAAGAAUUUCAAAAUCAAGAACUUAACAAAUGAAAUUUCACAACUUACUUGAGUGGAGAUAUGAAUGCUUGCAACAAAUCCUUCAAUAGAUGAUGGAAUACUCUAAAUGCACACUCCCACCAAGAAAACCCCCCAAAUAUGAGCAAGAACAAAGCUUUUUGUGAGUGGGUGAUGAAAAAGUGUAUAAAAAUCUCUUUAAAACCCUAUUGGAAGUGCAAAUCUGGAGCAAAGGAGCAAGGAGACCGCCAGGCAAAACUCAAAGGGGCAAGGCAAAGUGAAGAAAGUUUGGAAAAACCCAGCUUUUAAAAGCUUCGGGUUUCAUGUUCCGCCGCCACCGCCCAACGGCAAAGUGAUACCGCCCGGCGGUGGGUGGUAAUUUUCCCUACCAUUUUUCUUACUUGCCUCCUUGUGAUUUCUCUUGGUGACUCCUGAUCUCUACCCUAAAUUUUCAUUCUCAAAAUUUUCCUCACUCAAAUGCAUAUGCACACACAAAAUGUACUAGACAGAAUUUUGAAAAACAUAGAAAAAGAAAACAAACAAACAAACACAUAAAUUCAAAUUAUUAGACAACAAUUGAGAAAGUAUCCAGAAACACCCAUCAGUAGGUGUUAAACUUCUUUGUGCUUAGUAUUUUCUUCUUCUUCUUCUUUAUGCUAAGCCUCUUCAAGAAGUUGAUCAUGCCAAGCACAUGUUUCCAUUCAUCAAUCAUAGGAGCCUUAAUCUCCAAUUUCUCGAAGAACUCUUUAAAGUACUUGAACCUAUUUUCCUUCCUAUGAUUUUUCGUUUUAUGAGGAAGGGGUUUUUCACGUGACCUUUUUUCUUUCCACUCUUCCUCUUUUUCCUAAUUUUCUCCUCCUUAACCUUCUCUUUUUCUUUGUCUUUUCUUUCUUUAUUUUCAAAUUUUUUUUCUUUUUUUCUUUUCGUUCAACCAUGGUUUUUCCCUUCUCUUCCUUCUUCUCAUUCUCAUUCAACUUUUCUGUUUCUAUCUCCUCGAUCUUUUUCACAGCAGCAACUUUCUUUGUUUUUGUUUCCUCUUCAUACCUCUCUAGCUCUUCUUCUUCUAUCUUCUCCUCCUUGGCAACCUUAUCAUUUGUAAAGAUAGUGGCUUGACAUUCUUCUUUAGGGUUAACUUCAGUAUUAACCCAAAUUAAACCCAGAGACUUCAAGACAUGAGAGUGUUGUUCCUGCAAUAAACGUUCUUGGGCUUCCCCCAACGUUUCUUUGUGUACAGGAGAUUGCUUUUGUUAUAAACGUUCUUGGGCUUCCCCCAACGUUUCUUUUGGUACAGAGAAUAGUUCCUGCCGCAAACGUUCUUUAGCUUCCCCCAAUGUUUCUUUUCGUGAAGAGGACUGUUGCUCAAAUUGGCUUUGAUAAAUGUUAGAAUGAGGUUCCCACCAGUGGUUGAAGUCAUUUUGGUGGAAUUGAGUGCCCAUAUAAUCAAAUUCUUGAUCAAACUUCAUUCUGUAAAACUUAAGCACAAAACCCUAGAAAACAUUUAUUAUAACAGAAAUAAAAAUAAACAUCAAAUCAAGUCAAACUCAAUUAAUCCACACUACUAGAAAAAUAAACCUCGAGUCCCCGGCAACGGCGCCAAAAACUUGUUGACAAAUUGGCAAGUGUACCAAAUCGUACAAGUAAUAUAAAUGGUAAGACCAAGUAUCAUUUUCCCAAGAGACUCGAAUGACUUUCUCAUUCGCGUGAAUUAANNNNNNNNNNNNNNNNNNNNNNNNNNNNNNNNNNNNNNNNNNNNNNNNNNNNNNNNNNNNNNNNNNNNNNNNNNNNNNNNNNNNNNNNNNNNNNNNNNNNNNNNNNNNNNNNNNNNNNNNNNNNNNNNNNNNNNNNNNNNNNNNNNNNNNNNNNNNNNNNNNNNNNNNNNNNNNNNNNNNNNNNNNNNNNNNNNNNNNNNNNNNNNNNNNNNNNNNNNNNNNNNNNNNNNNNNNNNNNNNNNNNNNNNNNNNNNNNNNNNNNNNNNNNNNNNNNNNNNNNNNNNNNNNNNNNNNNNNNNNNNNNNNNNNNNNNNNNNNNNNNNNNNNNNNNNNNNNNNNNNNNNNNNNNNNNNNNNNNNNNNNNNNNNNNNNNNNNNNNNNNNNNNNNNNNNNNNNNNNNNNNNNNNNNNNNNNNNNNNNNNNNNNNNNNNNNNNNNNNNNNNNNNNNNNNNNNNNNNNNNNNNNNNNNNNNNNNNNNNNNNNNNNNNNNNNNNNNNNNNNNNNNNNNNNNNNNNNNNNNNNNNNNNNNNNNNNNNNNNNNNNNNAUCAAAAGAUUACAUUGUUUCCCCCAACAACAAUAGGGUUUAGUUCACCAUAGACAUGGUGAAACUAGAUGAAAAAUGGAAGAAGAAUGGAAAAGUGAUGGGUGUCGCGGCCCAUACAAAUUUGAUUGCAAUUCAGAAAUGCAGUAUAAUGCUAGGGAAUGACCCCUAGGUCAUCUCUCAAGGACCAACUGCGGUUCAGAGUCAAGUCUAACACGAGAGGGGGGUUUUGAAAAGUGUUUUUGUAGUGAAUGCGGAAAAUUUAAAAUUCACGCUGGAACUGGACAGCUCUGACCUUUGCUUAAUGUUUUACCCAUAACUUUUUCUACAGAGCUCUAAAUGAGAUGAGGUUUUUAUUUCUGGAAAGUAGACUCAAUUAUCUUUCUUGUGACAUAUAAAAAGUAGCAUUUGGACCUCUGGUGUGGUUGCAGUUAUUUUUUUAAAAUCGAGUCGAGAGAGUGAAAAUGCUAAACCAAAUACUAGACUAAACAAAUAUCUAAACACAGUUAAAACUAUUAAAUUGCAACACUAAUUUAAGAAAAUGAAAACCAACUAAAAAUGCAUGUGAAAUAUUUUUAAGCUAAAGAAAAUAAGAAAAUAUAAACUUAUUAAACACCUCAAUGCAUUCCAAUAUAUAAUAAAAAAGAUUCUAGUUACAAGACAAAGCAAAGUUGCUGGAAUAAGUAUAAAAAAAAUUCAGAGGUUUUAAAAGGCCAAAUGAAAUAAAUCUUAAAGGUGUGUGACGAUGUGUGCUUGGUUUCUAGCAAAAGAAUUGAAUAUAAAAAUUUAGCUACUUCUUCUUGCUGCUGCAGUAAAAUGAAAUGAGCUUGUGUGCUCCAGCUGGCCGUGAGCCCCCCUCAAGAAACAUCACCCUCCAUUCUUUUCAAUGACCAUGUGAUAUUCUCCCCCAAUGCAAUGUAACAGUAUUCUCUUCUUCCAAAAAAAAUGGUAUUGUGCAUGUGGCGGCUAAUAUAUUCCAGCAAUCCCGAGGCUCCCCUUUCUCCUUCGGUCAUGGCUUGUAUUAAAAACAAGGGUUCAUGACCUAUCACCUGCUGAACCGUGGAUCUUUAGAUGCACCCCUUUGUUUUCUUUUUUUACUCACAAGUGCCUCUUUUUUUUCUAAGCCCAGCUGCUUCUUCACUUUGUGCACCCCAAUGCUGGACACAUGAGAGUAUUGUCCACUUCCUACACGUCUCUGCAUCUGACCCGUGAGCAUGUUUCCUUUUAAUAUGUGCAACACAUUUUUUUUUCUUUUAAAAUAGAAAGGGUCCCUCAUGUGCAUAUGGCAGCAGCCCUUUAUUUUUUUCUCUUAUCUCCAAGCAAGAAAUCAGCCCAUCUCCAAUUAUGUGCUGCAGCGUUUUUUUUUUUUUUUUUUCCAAACCAAACAGCAGCUCAUCUCCAUGUGCACCACCCAAAUUGAAAUUCACACCUCUUUACUCAUUUAAGCAUAGAAUAAAAUUGAUGUGGCAUUUCUCUUUAAGUCCCAAAAUAUUUUCCAAUAAUUUCCCUAAAAAUAAUAAUGCAAAUAAUUAGCUCAGAAAAUUCAAAUUAAUUAAAAUUAGAAUUUUCGGUCAAAUUAAGCAUAAUUAGGAAAAACAGGAAAAUACCGGACAAUUAAGCACAAUUCCCUGAUUAAUUCUAGCACAAUAAACUAAGUGAAGUCGAUAAAAUAUCGAUUCAUCAAAAAGCAAACCCUAGAAAAGAUGAAAAGGAGCCUAAGCAUCCAAGAGAUCCUCUCUAGAGAGCAAAAUUAGGUUUCGUCGUUCUCCCCUGUCAAAAGAAUCACUCUGAACUCGCAGUAGGGGUAUUUAUAGGUGAGGAGCGCGUCAGAAAACAGGCUCAAGCCCAGUGAGCCACCGCCCGACGGUUUAAGUGUGCCGCCUGGCGAUUUGCCAUAAUCCUCCAAACCGCCCGGCGGCAAUCGCCACCGCCCGGCGGUUUCCCUCAGAACCGCCCAGCGUCAAUCGCCAUGCCUACUCCUCGUCCUGGACUGCCUGGCGGUUUAAGUGUGCCGACGGGCGGUGCGUCGACUCUUCAAAUCUUCAUUUUUCUGCUCUUUUCUUGAGUCAACGACCUGUAUCUUUAACUCCAUUUUUCACUUAUCCAAAAAUAGCUACAAAAUAAUGCAAAACAAGCAUAAAAUAGCUAAAAACAGCUUUUGACUCUCUAUAGACUCAUUUAUUGAGUUUUGCUUGAUUCUAGGCUCAUUCCAAGUAGUAAAGGGCGUAAUUCAGUCCAAAUUGACAUAUGAAAAUAACUGUUUUUCAACCUUCAUCAUUAACAAAUCGCAAGGAAUGAAAAGUUUAAGUGCAACAGAAACGUAAAGUUGACUACGUAUACAGUUAAGUCGACUUAAUGUAAAAGUGUAGGGAUAGAGAAAUCAAACGCAGAGUUUUUAUACUGGUUCGGCCUCAAUGCCCAUAUCCAGUGUCCUUCCACAAUCUGGAAGCAAAUGCACUAUAAUGGUCAAGGUUUUUACAACAAGGCUUUUAUAGAGACCUCCGCGUCAAAAAUAUAAGACACCUCUCUAACCCUCAAACCAAAAUAUAGUCAACAACACAAAGAACUACAGCAAGAUAUCCCCUCUUCUGCAAUCUUCAACCCACUUUGAACAAUCCUCAAAGUGUUAGAACUCCACGAGUCCACCUCUUAUAAUCACAACAGGAUAACAACAAUCUUUCCAAAGAUUGAUAGAAAUCUUGAUCAACAGAUGAACACCACAAUGUGCAGAAUAUGAUCAACCAGUAAGCACGAAAUUCUUCUCCUUCAGAACCUCCUCAAAGAAAGAUCUUCAUAGUCUUCUUGAUGAGUUCUUGGAGUGUUUAAUCACAGGAUCUUAAUCUGAAAUAGCAAGUGAAAAUGUCAGUUCAACCAAAGUCUCUCUUCCUUCUUGCUGUAACCAGCAGAGUCUCAUCUAUUUAUAGUUUUCUAUAAAUCAAACGCUCCUGUUAUCGACUGUGCUACUAAUGAAGUCGACUGUGCUACUAAUGAAGUCGACUGUCAUCAGACAAUUAUAACAGUUAAGCAAAUUAGCAGUAGUCAUAACAACCAAAUUGAUUUUGCAUUUAAUACAGUUGACUAUCAUUUAAUGCUUUAACAAACAAUUGAAAUAUAGUCAUUACAGUACAAAAGCAUUAACAGAAUUUAAAAAAAAAUAACUAACUAAGUUGGAUCCACUGCGCAUGUAGUUGACUUAGACACUCCAACUCAGUUUGAAAAAAAUUUCAAUGCAAAAUCACACACAACACUGCUUUUGAAAAUCUAUGCACAGUCACGAGUUUUAAUCGAUUUACUUCAUAAUGAAGUCUAUUUAAAACUUGCAGUUAUGCCACACAAUAUAAGUUCAUCAAAGCGCAUGUGGUUUUCUUUUCAUAAACAUAUUUAAUGCAAUCAUAAGUGAUGUAUCAUCCAUAAUAUGCAUUCAUAUAUCACAAACAACACAAACAUGUUCAUUUAGAUAUCAAUCACAGUAAAGAAUAGAACAUGUAACACAUAACAAUACAUGUGUUAUUAAUAAUGUGUUGUCAUCAUCAAAAACCAAAGCAUGUGAGAUUAAGGUUUAGCUGAUCUAGUGCUUCCCUCAUUAACAAUCUCAACAAAACUGUCUAAGGUGUUUGUGUGGAUUCUCCCUUGAUAACCCACGAAGUUUUGGUAGGGCAUUCAAUAAGUUAAACCACUCCUAAUUAGGAUAUUCAAUGUUACUGUAGAUAACUAUAUUGUGAGAGGUGGCUAAUUGUCUGAUAGUCCUUUGUGUCAUUAUGUUUGGGUUAGGAUCAGGUAAAGAAUCAGAGGAUAUAUUUGUAACUAGAAAUGAUGGUGAUGGUAUGACUUCAAUAGUAGCUUCAGAUGUAGAAGAUGUUCCCUCAAUAAAACACCCAAAUUUCAAACUUUUUCGCAACUUACGUAAAUUUCUUUCAACUUUCCGGUUAAUUUGAUAAAAUUCUCCCGGGUUGGCUCUAGUCAUGCAUUACAUAGUCUGCUUGAAGUUCUUUCUCUAUUCUUGACUUUUUUUUUCUUACAUUAAAGAAAGAUUUCAAAUAAGAAAUAAGUAAGACUUUGUUUGGGUCCAUUCCCAGAAAAGAGAGGUGUGUCACAAUGGAUAACUUAAGUACUAAGUCUUUCCUAACCAAAGUAUUUUCAUACUAGUCUCAAGUAUUUCUCAAGAGAAAUUCUUAAUUAAAAUAAAAAAAAUUGCUAGUAAUAAUAAUAAGUAAAGACUACAAAAGAACUAAAACUAAAUUAAUUGUAUAUGCGUUAGGAGAAAAACAAAUAAAAUAAAUAAAUAAAAAUGAAAAUAAGAAUCAAAUUAUUCAAAAUACUAACUGUAUUCUCUGGUAGUGGCACCAAAUUUUAUAUGUUGUCAUUGAAGCUAUCAAAUUAAUACUACUUUUCAAGGCAAUUUUAGUUUUGCCAAGUUAGUUGUAAAGAAAGUAGAUAGAGUUAAAGUAACCCUGAGUCGUCUUCCAACGAAUACGGAAUUUUUUUUCAAUAUUUGACUCUUAUAAAUGUUAUGCAAUGCUCAAGAAUAAAAGUGAGAAACUUUGACAAUGGAUUUAAUGUUUGAAGAAUGUUCAAGUUUAAGUGAAGAACAAGUAGAAGACUUAUAAACAAUUAUAAUGAAAUAGGAUAAUUUCAUUGCUUUUCCAAGACAGAUUCAUCAUCGUUAUCCACAUAUCAUUAUACAAUUGAUUAUUGUUCGAGUUUCAAAUUAAUUAAAGCACAUUCUCUAUUAAAUCGAGGGCGAUCAUAUAAUCAACCAAAGUAGAUUAUCAAUUAAAUGCAAGACCUUUCUAGAUUAUUCACAAUGAAUUCAACCAAAGACAUUCUCAAUCAAAUCCUAUCAUGUUUAAUCAUGUGUAUUCUUAAAUCUUUUAACCAAAUUAAAAGCUAAUUAAUCAAAGAAAAUUCUCAAUUAAUUAUAGUUGAAAUUCUUACCACCAGUCAAAGUACAUUCUCAAUUAAUAGCAAAAGCUCAUUUAAUCAUAUGAAAGUUUCUAAAUUCAAUCAAAGUAAAAUCUCAAUCAAAUCUAAAAGCCUUUGAACUCAUAUGAUUAAUAUGCAUGUAGAUUCAAACACCUUAUAAUACAAAAAUGAUUGCUUUUAAUAUGAUUGAGAGAUGACAAACAUAGAAAAGAAUAAAUUAAAUCAAUAAUCAAAAGAAACAAAUUCACUAAAUCAACUUAGCCUCAGAAUCUAUAAUGAAAUUACAGUGGAAUAGUCCUAAAAGUUUAGUCCUCCAUUAAUGGAGUAAAGUAAAAGUGAGAUGAGUGGUGGAUGCUUGCUUCUAGUGGAGGAGUUUGAAUGAAUGAGUUAUGAUUUCUACCUCCCCUGGGCCUCUUUAUAUAGGACUUGAUUAGGCUUAGACUCUGAAUAAUUUUUUGAUAAAAUCUUUUAUCUUAUAUCUUCCAAAUAAUUGAAAAAUUUAGAUAAUUAUAAAAAUAUUUAGAAGAUCUUUUUGUUGAUAUUUCUAAAUUUAAUUAAUUAUCUUUAAAAUAUAAAUUGAAUUGUCUCCUAAAUUCCAAUUACGUCCUUCUUAAAUUUCAAAAAUUGUAGAGAACCCCAAAAAUUUCCUCUAUUUACACUUUAGUCAUUUCUCUCUUUUUCAAAAUUUUAAUUCUAGCUGUAUUAACAAACAUUAGACUAUCCAAAAUAAUUUAUACAACAAAAAAUCACAUUUUAAGCCUUUUUCAUUCCCAAACCUGAUAAAUCCAAUCAUCAUAAAUCUUAUUCAAAUAAAUCAUUUAAGCACAAUUAUUUCACUAAAAUUUUGAAAUUAAAUAUAAAAUGUGGGCUUAAAUAUCCAUUCAUCAAUUACUCAUACCUAAAUUGUCUUAACACACGUUCAGGCAUAUGAUGAUGUACAAUCCCACCCACCUUGAUGAAGCCAAAGAACAUACAAAUUUCCAUAUGCGGAAGAGUAAUUAGAUGUGAUCAAUAUAAGGCUCAGAUCACCCUAUCAUAUGUCAAGGGAUUUAAUUAUGCCCUGGCCUCAUGUAGACUAGAAAUCUACCUCCCCAACAUAAAAUGUGGGGCUCGAGGUCUAGUCUCAUUAUAACUAGCUAACAGAUGCUUCCUUCCCAUUUUAAGAAAGUGCUUAUAUAUUCAACUCUACAAAAAAGUGCAGAAUAUAUUUCAAUAAUGAAACAAUAAAGGAAAUUAAAGUGCAAGAAAUAUAUUUAUAUAUAUAUAUAUAUAUAUAUAUAUAAAGAGUUAGAUAUCCAACUAAUUGCUUUGUCUCUACAAAGUUAGCAUCUCCAAGCUACUCGUACAAGUGGACAAGUGCAGCAACUCCCUGGACAUAUCUGCCAUAUAACUACAGGUCUCUGAAGAUCAUCAUGUAGGAUACACACACUCUUAUCCAUAAAAAUAAUGCAUCCAACAUGAUGCAACAAGCAGGCCAACAUGACAUACUUCCACUGUUUUUUUCUCACAACAAUAGUUAUAUAGGUCUCUCAAACAACUCAAUCUUAUAUGGGGACUAUGACAUUACCUGAGCUCAAAUGUAGCCCUCGUCUGGUCCUUGCCCAAUACAACCAUGAGAGUUUCCAAAGUUGCUUCAAAGUCGCACAAAAUUGUCUCACUAUAGACAAAUGUAGCAGUGUGAACAUGUUAGCUAGAGUGAUAGUCAUCUCACCAAUAAGGAGAUGGGAAAAUGUUUGUGUCUCUAUGGCAUAUCUCAAUAAACGUCAAUACCAACCUUUUGUUAGCAUAAUUGUAUGAAAUAUAGCAAAGAGGCAUUAAACCAGAAUUCAACACAUAAUUUUGAAUAGCUAAAUGACAUGCUCCAGACUUAUUUAAUUUUUUUCCAUGGGAGACCAACUUUAUUAUCUUCCAUCGAUCCUACAUAUAAUAAUUGCAUAUAAAAUUUAAAAGAGUCACUAAAUGUUAAAAAAAAAACAAAAACAAAAACAAACAAACAAAAACAUUACUAACUUGUCAUUUCCAUAAUGCAUGUGCAACAUGAUCACCAUAACUCGUCAACAAAGAAAUGUAAAUUGGACCUCUAAACCAUUUUAUCUUCUUGGUGAACAACAAUCUCAUGAUGGAUUAAUAACAUCUUCUUGCUACUCAAUAACAUCCUCAUGAACAUUGUGACCAAUUCAUGUAGUAGCUUCUCCAGCAUUACCAUCACGACCUCUUCUACGAGCAAAUGUUAUAAGUCUUUUUCUAGUUUUAUCUUAUAGAACUCAGUCUUGUAUCUAAAAACACCUUUUGUUCUUUCUAUUUUUAUAACACAAAAAAUAAUUAAAAAUUAAAAAAAUAACAAAACCAAAAGCCAUUAAAAUAAUUAAAAUAACAAUUAAAAAAUAAAAAUAGUAAAUAAAAUAUAAAAAUAAAAAAACACAUACAUAAUAUAUAUAUAUAUAUAUAUAUAUAUAUAUAUAUAAUUUUAAAAUCUCAUAUAAUAUUUAAUUGGAUUUAAAAAUCUUAUGAAUUCCUUAACUAAAUAUCAAAAUUUAGUAUAUUUCUUGGAUUUCAAAAUCCAAUUCAUACCUUGAUCAAUUUUUUAAAUUCAAUAUACUUCUUAAUCGAAAUUUGAUAUUUAUCUUAAAUUCGAUUACUACUUUAAUUAAAUUUUAAAAUCUGAAAUGUUUCUUAACUAAAUUUCAAAAUUCCAUAUUCAAUUUUUAAUCUCCAAAUCUGUAAUCCAAAUCCCCAAGUUCCUUUCUUAUCUACGUUUAAUAAUAUAUUUUGACAUCUGUUUAACAAAACACAUGCAGAUACACAUUCAUUCCACUGAUUUUUUCAUAGAGCUAACACAAUUCUCAUUAAUACUGUAAUAUUUCCUAGGCACAUGUAGCACAACCAUUGAACUUCUUUACGCAUCCAAAGAGUAUAAAAAGUUGAAGUGAUAUGGUGCUAACUUUAUCAGAAAGCAAAUAGGUUUUGUAACUAAUGCACUAGAUUUAAAAAACUCUUGUAUGAAUGCAUGAAGUAUUUAUUGAUUCAGGAUGAGUUCGAAAGAAAAAAUUAUAUAGUCUUAGGUUGGUAAAAAUUAUAUAUUUUGGAACUUUAAUUUUUACAGUAGAGAAAGUAUUAAUUAUAAAACGAUUAGAAAGUAAAUUUUAAAAUUUAAUCAAAUUUUACAAGCUUGAAUUUGGAAUUUAAGAAUUAUUUUUACUAUAAGUUGAUUUGAUUUCUAGUUCACCUGAAACAUCUAAUAAAGACUUAUAUUUUUUACUUUCAUCCUAAGUGUCAAAUGGUUUAUUUAUUAAACUGGUACAAAUUCUAUUGGAUUUGAUGGAAAUGGGUGAAUUUUAAAAAAGGAAUUACGACUAUAAAUAAGUUAUACUAUGUAACUCAACUUAAAAAUGAAAACUUCGUAUAUAAAAACACUUUUAGUUUGGAAAUUUUCUUUUGUUCUAUCUAAAAUCGUGUUAAGAUAGACUACUGACGAAUAAGAGCUCCCAAAAAAUCAUACAAAAAGAUAGAUGCAGACGUAUUAUCCAUGCACGUAUAUAAACGCACUCACGUAGCAAGAGGAAUCUUAAAAGGCAAACAAAAGAACACAACACAAGUAGCAUCUUAUAAGUAAAUACACUCAACCAAUGUUAAUUAGGUAAACCAAUGUUUUCCCUUUGGGCUGUGCAGAGCCAAUAAUAUCUAACAGAUUAAUUAGGUAAGUUCAAACUGUUAAUCAUUGCAACACAUGUGACACCAUUAAGCAGUGGACCUAAAAUUCAUCCUUAAUUGUUCAAUCAAGAUUAAUCAUGAAAAAUAUUCUUUACAAAAGAAGAAAUUGUAACGAAAUUUCUCUUUUCCUUGCCUUGGACCGGUCGAUAAAGCUUCCAGAUAUGACAUCCCAACGCAUUACAAGUUUAGACUAACCCCAUCCAACAGAGAAGGCUUAAAGUCAAAAUUAUACAAAAAAAUCUCUUUCCUAGCUACAAAUAUCUUUGUGAUAUGGAGAAAACUAUACAUUGUAAAAGUAAAAGUAAAAUUUCCCUUAGAAAAAAAAAUCAAAAAAGUAAAAAAAUGAACAAAGAGACAAGAAAAAAGGAAAACAAACAAAGGACAAAUGACACACCUUAUUGACAAUAAGACCGUUGGAACUUGUCAUCCCAACGCUGGAACAGUUAGCUGACAUGUGGCAACGCGCCACCCGGUGGGACCGGAAUAUAGAAUUUCGCCGGGCUCUAGAAACGGGUUGGUGAACCGAGUCGACUCAGUCAAAUCGUUCCUACCUUUCACCACCACCGUCAACCACUUUCCCUCCGUAUCCUCUAUCACCGCCACCCCCUUAGUCUUAACUCUUCCAAUCAAAUCCCAAAACGAAUCGUUUUUCUUUCUAUUCACAAACAAAACCACCAACCUUUCCUUACACUCUUCCAACCUCUUCAAACACCGAACUAACUCUCUCAACUCGUCCACACCCAAAUCCCCCACCCUCCUCUCACUCUCCUCCACGCGCUGUGAAAUCUCGCGCUGCACGCGCCCGUAAUCAUUGCACACCAAUCUCACAACGCCAUACACCAAGUCGAUCCUCUGAAGGUGCAGCGACUCGGGCGCGUGACUCACCUGCUCCACGAAAUCGACUAAACCUCGUAUUUCACACAGCAACUCAACACUAGACGCCCCCGAAAACUCUCUUUCAACGCUCUUGUUUUUCAGAUAAUAACCCAAAACGCGCGAAACCGUCAAGACAUGUUCCAGAACAUUCGCGUACCAUCGAACCCACGAGCUGAGCUCCAGAGAUUGCACGUCCAUGUCGUCGCGGAAGGUAGCGAGGUUAAGGGCGUUAUGUCCUCCGCGGGAAGGGUAGUGCGAGAGAUUGUCCUUUAGCGUUAAGGGUCCCUCGGAUACGAUGUUGUGGAGAGUGAAGAGGCAUUUCAGUGCCACCGUGGCGCUUUGGGUUCUGUGAAGGCGGUCCAUGAUUGCCUCUAUGCAGGUAAGUGGCAGGAGAUAUGAGCCGCGGCCGGCGGACAGAACAGCGGCGAUUUGGGACUCGGACGGAGGAGCGGUGAGGCGGUGAGUGGUGGCGCGAAGGACACGGACGCGAACGGAGGACACGCCGCGUUUGAGUGAGAGUGAUGCUGCGAUCACUGCGGUUUUGUCGUUGAAAGUGUGUAGGAGAUUUGUGAGUGUCUUGCGGAGGGACAUAGCUUUGGAGAGUGUUCAAAUGCUCUGGGUAGUUUUAUCUGGCACAACUAUGCAUGGCUCAAUUUUCUGGUUUUUCUCGGAGUCAUAUUUCUCUUGGUUUAUUUAUGAGAAGUAAAACUAUAUAAAGAUUAAUUUGACUCAGAAGAAAGCCAAAAGGUACAAUACAAUGCCAUCAAAGUAUUAAUAAUAAUUCAUUCAUUUUAAAAUUUUGUUCUAAGUAUAAUUUAAGGUUCCAAAGAAUUCAGGAAAAUGUUUACAAUUUAAUACAUACAUAAAUAAAUACAUGUGUACAGUAGUAUGCUUUCAAUGGCCGGUAGAACCGAACGACCCUAAUGGGCCAGCAGCCUAUCACAGCGCCACAUUCUUACUGGGCUAAAGGCCCAAUGCCGACAUAAAUGGUGUCCACGAAUCCAGAAGCAAGAAUAUAUCUAGAUAUAUCCUAACAGAAACAAAGAUAUGUCAAGUAAGACCGUUUAUAUUUAUUGUUAUUCUAUUUAUAUUUUGUUUAUCUUAUAUCAACCCAAAGCCUAUAAAUAAAGGCUGAAGGACUCCAAACAAGUACGUUUUACAAUACACUUCACUCAUAAUUCAUCUAGCAUACUCUUUAUCGUACUUUAUCAAUCCUCUUCCACAGAGGGUCAAAUUCCCUCCUACUGGGAAUUCCACAUACACGUCUAACUUGAGUGUCGGAGUGCCUUUUCAGGUACCUCCCCCCUCCGGUCAAGACUUGUAGAUCACCGGACGGUCGAAGUCAACACAAUAGCAUGCGGUCGAGAUCCAGAAGAAGCGGACAGAAAGACAGAAGACGACGUCACCCAGGUUAGUCCUUCGGUCCCAAAAUUUAUACCGAAACAUUUUGGCGCCCACCGUGGGGACGAAAGUGAAGAUUCCCUAUGGUGACCACCAGAAGCAUGGACGGAAAUAACACUGACCCUAUGGAGCAAUUGAGACGACUCCAGAAUCAAUUGGAACAGCAGAACCAGCUUAUUCUUCAACAACAGGAAGCUUAUCUAAAGCUAACUGAGGAGCUUAAGCAAUUCAAAGAGAAACAGCGGGAAGCAACAGACGACAAUAGCCCGAAUGACAAUGACAACAAUAAUAACCACACAACCCAGAACGGACCUCCUCGUUCACCAGACCUGCUACCUUUCACUGAGGCCGUCAUGCAAGCUCCCAUGCCCGACCGGCCUCCCCCACAGAUGGACAGGUUUGACGGAACAACAGACCCAGAACACCAUCUCAGAAAUUUCCUUGAUUCUAUGGCCUUUUACUCCAGCAACGAUCCAGUCAAAUGCCGAGCGUUUUCCCUAUCCCUGAAGGGCGAGGCUCUCGAGUGGUAUUAUACUCUCCCUCCUAACUCUAUUGACAACUUCCGCACCGUCGUCACUCUAUUCAAAAGACAAUACGCAACCAAUCAUAAAGAAACAACCACUGUAGCCGAACUUGUCAAUCUCAAACAGGAGAAAGAUGAGUCACUCAGAAAGUUCAUGCGCAGAUACACUGACGUAGCAAGAAGAGUUAAGGGGGUAAGCCACGAAUUCAUCAUCAGCAAUUUACCCAAUUGCCUGAAGCCAGGUUACGUCUCAGAAUCCCUGUAUGCCAAGUUGCCUAAGACAAUGGAAGAGUUGCAAGAAAAGAUGAACAAGUUUAUUAAAAUGGAGGAUCAACGGCAUUUUCGCCGAAAGGCGGAUGACGCCGCAACAGAAACCAAACAGGAGGGAGGACGAUCGCGGGACAAAAGCCGUAAUCAUAAACCGCCACGAAAAUACACCCCGACUCCUUACAAUCCUCAGUACGAUCGCUAUGCCCCUCUCACAGCCUCAAGGGAAAAGGUGUUUGAAAAAGCCUUACAGGCCAACCUCAUUACCGCUACCAAACGGGGGACACCGAAUGCUGCAGACGGAGCCAAAGUCUGCAAGUAUCAUGGCAACCAGGGGCACACCACAGAGGAUUGCCGAGUCCUCAAGGAUAGAAUUGAAAAGCUGAUUCGCGAGGGGCACUUACAAGAAUUUGUCCGAACAGAAACACGUCGACGAGAGCGGUCGCCUAGAAAGACACGAAGAAGUCCCGAGCGUUCAGGGAGGAAUACCGAACGCUCCAGAGAUCAAUCUCGUGAGCGCUCUCGCAGUAGACCUCGAAAGCGUGACCCUACUCCACGAGGACGGAUCGAUACUAUCUCAGGCGGCUUUGCGGGAGGAGGGGCCUCAUCCUUAGCUCGCAAAAGACACUUAAGAAGUUUACGAAGUGUUCAUAACGUAGCCCGCAACCCUUUGUCAAUGCCGGACAUCAUCUUCACAGACAAGGAUUUUCAUGCCCCAGAUCCUGAUCAGGAUGAUCCAAUGGUUAUAACCGCUCGCAUAGCACAAUACGAUGUAAGUAAGGUUCUUGUGGAUCAGGGAAGUUCCGUCAACAUCCUCUAUUGGACUACCUUCCAAAAGAUGGGACUACCAGAAGAUAUAAUAACACCCUUCGGAGAGCAAAUCGUUGGGUUCGCAGGAGAACGGGUGGAUACUCGAGGAUAUCUUGAUCUUAGAACCCGAUUGGGAACUGGUGACAAGGCCAAAGAACUCCGCACGCGGUUUUUGUUGGUAAAAGCCCAUACCUCAUAUAACGCCCUCUUAGGGCGACCGUGCCUAAAUGCCUUUGGCGCUAUAGUUUCUACUCCUCACUUGGCGAUGAAAUUCCCUUCGGAGGACGGAACAAUAUGCACCGUUCGGGCAGAUCAGAAAACCGCUCGGCAAUGUUACGCGGCUGCUUUGAAGGCUAAGCCAUAUUUUAAAGAAAAACGAUCUGAAGCAAUACUGGUCGAUUUGGAUCCUAGGACCAACACGGAUGACCGCAUACAACCCCAGGGGGAAACCAAACAGUUCGUCCUCGGCAAAAAUGCCGACCAAACCACCUCCAUUGGCGCUGGCCUGACGCCUGAACAGGAAAAAGACCUGACCACACUACUGAAGUCAAACAGCAAACUUUUUGCGUGGGCCGCCUCUGACAUGCCAGGAAUUCACCCCAGUGUGAUCACUCACAAGCUAUCGAUAUUUCGUGAAGCCCGUCCGGUAGCUCAGAAAAAGAGGCGACUUGGUAACGACAAAAGGGAAGCCGUGCAGAACGAGGUAAACAAACUAGUAAAGGCUGGGUUCGUACGGGAAAUCCAGUACACCACUUGGCUCGCAAACGUUGUGAUGGUAAAGAAAGCGAACGGUCAGUGGCGAAUGUGCUCGACUUUACCGAUCUCAAUAAAGCCUGUCCAAAAGAUAACUAUCCCCUUCCCAGCAUUGACCGGUUAGUAGACGGUGCCUCGGGACACGCGGUCUUAAGCUUUCUUGAUGCCUAUUCAGGAUACAACCAAAUCCCCAUGCACGUCCCGGACCAGGAGAAAACAGCUUUCAUAACUGAACAUGCCAACUACUGCUAUGAGGUGAUGCCGUUCGGUCUGAAAAAUGCCGGCGCAACUUACCAACGGCUCAUGGACAAAGUCUUUCGGGAUCAAAUCGGACGGUGUAUGGAGGUUUAUGUCGACGAUAUGGUGGUAAAAAGCUCUUUACAUCAACAACACUUGAGAGACCUAGCUGAAGUCUUUCAACAGCUGAAAUGAUAUGACCUGCGGUUGAAUCCUUUAAAAUGCACUUUUGGGGUACAGGCAGGUAAGUUCCUAGGUUUCUUGUUGACCAACCGAGGAAUAGAGGCCAAUCCGGACAAAUGCCGGGCGAUUUUGGAGAUGCGGAGCCCAACGAAACUUAAGGAAGUCCAAUGCUUAGUCGGCCGCCUUACCGCCCUAUCACGGUUCAUUCCGAAGCUCUCGGAUCAUAUCAAACCCAUAAUAAAAAACAUCAAGCAGAACGUACCCCGGCACUGGGACGAUCAGUGCGAAGUUGCCUUCUCCACGAUAAAGAAAAUACUAACGUCUCCACCGGUGAUGGCGCGACCAACGGAAGGCUUUGAUUUGCAACUAUACUUGGCGGUCUCUAAUCAUUCGGUAAGCGCAGCUCUAAUUCAGGAGUCUCCAGUUCUUAAAUUGAUCUAUUUCGUUAGCAGAACUCUGCAAGGAGCAGAAGAACGAUAUUCCCAGGUGGAAAAGGUGGCCCUAGCUCUGAUUACUGCAGCUAGAAGACUCCGACCGUACUUCCAAAGCCAUCAAGUCGUUAUCCGAACGAACCACCCAAUCGCCAAAAUUCUCCGAAAACCGGACCUCGCGGACCGAAUGGUUGCCUGGUCCAUCGAAUUAUCAGAAUUCGGCCUCCGUUUUGAACCACAGGGUUCCAUCAAAGGUCAACAUCUGGCCGACUUCACGACAAAACUUUCGCUGGCAAUCAUACCGCCCACAUGGACUUUGAGCGUGGACGGAUCCUCAAACAGAAAAGGAGGUGGUGUUGGAGUCGUACUUGAAGGACCGAACGGUCUGUUGGUCGAACAGGCUAUAUCUUUCAAUUUUCAACUCAGUAAUAACCAAGCAGAGUACGAGGCUCUAAUCAACAGGCUACUUUUGGCCGUAGAAUUGGAGAUCGAGCGCUUGGAAUGCCGGAUGGACUCACAGCUGGUCGUCGGGCACAUCAACGGCACUUUUCAAGUCAAAGACAAUCACCUAUUGCGAUAUUAUCAUAAGGUUAGUGAUUUGAUCAAAUCGUUCUUCAGUUUCAAUAUUACACAUGUCCCCAGGGCACAGAAUUCCCGAGCGGAUCUACUGUCUAAACUGACACACAACCGGAAUAAGUCUCAACUAACCUCGGUGAUCAGGACCACGCUGGAUAAACCCUUGUUAGAGACAUGUUCCAUUGACCUCACCUCUUCAAAAACCGACUGGCGACACGAAAUCAUACAACUAAUGACUCAACAGGAACAGGGCGGGUUCGUGAAUGCCUCCGAUUCUAAACGAAUCGCCCGUUAUACGUUCGUCGGUGAUGAUCUUUACCGACGCGGGUACACCACCCCACUAUUGAAGUGUUUAUCUGCAGAUGAAGGAAAAUACGUCAUACAAGAGCUACAUCAUGGAAUCUGUGGUACACACUCGGGAAAAAGAGUACUUCAAGCAAAAAUCCUACGAGCAGGUUUCUAUUGGCCUACCAUCGAAAAAGAUUGUGCAGAUUUCGUACGAAGAUGCAUCUCCUGUCAAUCUCAUGGACAUGAUACCCGAAUCCCUCCAUCCGAACUUAUGGGAAUCAUCUCUCCAUGGCCCUUCGCUCAGUGGGGGAUGGAUAUAGCCGGCCCCUUACCGGUCGGAAGUGGACAGCGUAAGUAUCUUCUUGUGGCGGUGGACUAUUUUACCAAGUGGAUCGAAGCGGAAGCCCUCGCAACAAUUACCGCCCGGAAAGUACAGAGUUUCAUUUGGCAUUUAGUAUGCAGAUUCGGCAUUCCACAGAAGCUCAUUACAGAUAACGGUCGGCAAUUUAUAGACCGGACGCUAGAAGAUUUCCUUCACAGGCUUGGUAUCAAGCAUGUCACCAGCUCGGUAGAACAUCCGCAGACUAAUGGUCAGGCAGAAGCGGCCAAUAAAGCCAUAAUUACUGAACUGAAGAAACGCUUGGGACAAGCCGAGGGCUUAUGGGUUGAAGAACUACCUGAAAUAUUGUGGGCUUACCUUUGCACACCGCACGACGCUACCGGCGAAACUCCUUUCAACCUCACAUAUGGAACGGACGCUAUGCUACCGGUCGAAGUUGGAGAGCCCUCCUUACGGCGGAAUAUACAAGAUAUGAGCAUAAAUGAUCAACAGUUGAGGAUGAACUUAGACGUAUUGCCCGAAUGGCGCGAAACAGCCUUAAUCAAGAAUGCAGCUCAAAAAAGACUUAUCACUCGACGUUAUAACUCCAAAAUUAAACCACGCAACUUCGCUGAAGGAGACCUAGUUUGGCAGAAACGAGGAGACGCUCGGAGGGAUAAAACGCACGGGAAGCUCGCUGACAAAUGGGAAGGGCCCUUUCGCGUCAAAGACGACCUGAAAAAUGGGGCGUAUCGCCUAGAACAGCUUGACGGAACGGCCAUUCCCAACACAUGGAAUGCAACUCAUCUCAAAUUUUACUAUAGUUGAAUGAUUGAAGUUACUGCUUUAUAUGUUGAUCUUUACAAACAAUGUUAUUUAUUUCUCUCAACAUAUUUUCAAUGAAGUAUUUCAGUUUAAGUAUACAAUUUGCAUUUAUAUCACUGGACGCCAUGUCCCCUAGAUUUAUCAAUCUAGAAACACUACGGGGCGCCAUGUCCUCUAGAUUUUUCAAUCUAGAAAUAAUACCGGACGCCAUGUCCUCUAGAUUUAUCAAUCUAGAAACACUACGGGGCGCCAUGUCCGCUAGAUUUUUCAAUCUAGAAAUAAUACCGGACGCCAUGUCCUCUAGAUUUUUCAAUCUAGAAAUAAUACCGGACGCCAUGUCCUCUAGAUUUUUCAAUCUAGAAAUAAUACUGGACGCCAUGUCCAUUAGAUUUUUCAAUCUAGAAACACUACGGGACGCCAUGUCCCCUAGAUUUUUCAAUCUAGAAAUAAUACGGGACGCCAUGUCCCCUAGAUUUUCAAUCUAGAAACAAUACAGGACGCUAUGUCCUCCAACAUCAUCAAUCCAAAAAGCGUUACGAGAUAUUACGGCACACAAACAAAGAUCCGACCCAGUUUUUAAAGCAACAAAAGCAUUCCAUUCAAAACACCAGCAACAAGCAAAUAAAGUCAUAAAGGCAAAGUACGAGUUGUUGCGAGCAAAUAAAGUCAUAAAGGCAAAGUACGAGUUGUUGCAACCUUGGGACGCAAAAGUAUAAAAUAUGUUACAAAGUCCUAAGUUUCUACAUUGGCCUCUUCUUCUCCUUCCUCUGCAACAGCCUCUUCCGCCGGCUCUUCAAGGGCGACCUCUGCCACUAUCUCGGCUAUGUCCCCAUUCUCGGUGAAGGUACCGUCCGGUAUAUCUCCAAUCGGUGUCAUUUGCCCGAGAUAGACAUCUUUGUACACAUCAAAUUCAAAGGCUUCAGAUGAAACAUUGGCUAAGCACGCCAUUUGCCUUAGCGCCUUCUUAAAACCUUUAGUAUGCUCCUGGCGAAUGGCCGCAUACAUCUCGGCCUCGGUAUUCUUCCAUUCUACGGAAGCCGCCCUAAGAUCGUCCCUCUCUUUCUGAAUAACGUCUAGUUGAGAAAUGGUCUUCCGAGCCGACUCCAUCUCUUUUAACAAAUUAUCUCGCUCGGUUUGCAUCCGGGUACUCAUAUUCCUCAAUUGUUCAUUGAGGGUACGACUUUCGGCUAUCACCUUGGUAGCUUCUUCAGCAUUUUUCGCACAAUUGGCAUGAGCGGCACGCACCUCCUCUAACUCCUUCUUUAACCGGCAUACUUCACUCUGGACGUCCCCACGGCUAGAGGCAUAGGCCAUCUUGUACGCCGCAGCACCACACCUCAAAAUAUGAUGAAGCAGGUAUUCGGACAUUUGUUGCUCAGACAUCGCCGCCAUUGCUUUUUCUUCGGCAGCAUCGAAGUUAAAUUCGAUCUUGUGUCUUAGAUCGAAGCCUGGAUCAUCCAUACCCAACGGUAAAUACCGUUCGGGAAUUGACUCUUCAGGAACUGUCGUUGUCUUUUUACCUUUGGAGGCUCCACUACCUGCAGUUUUUUUCCUCUUGCGGGUCAAAGCUUGAACCGGAGAAGGAGGAGUGUCUUCUAUAUGCACUAUAGUGGUCGGCAUGGAUGAUGCCCCACUCGAGCGCGCGGUUUGUAAACCGACCCCCUGGUUCGCCACUUGCAACUCCCUGAACCAAUCCCGACCACUCUUUUUAGCCAUAACUUCUGCAAAAUGGUAGCACACGCACAAAAUUACAAUUCACAGAACGCAAAUGAAGAACAGUUCACAAAGAAACCUACCAGACACUCUUGAUUUCAGAUCGUUGUAUUUCAGGCAAUUAACCAGCUUCCUCAAAGAGAACGGACGAGGUAACUUGACCAACCUAUCCAGAUCCCUCUGUUCAACAUCAGACAUAUCAUCUAUUGGCCAAGAGGUUAAGGUACGAGGCUUCUUAGUCCAAUAUAGGGGAAAUCUAGAGUUCCCGUCAUCAUUAUAAAAGAAUGGCCGACCCAUUUCGGUAACAGACACUUUGAAAAAGUGGUUUUUAAAGUCUUUGUAUGACUCGACAAACAAACUAAAGAUGGAAUUUUUGGCCAUAGACGUCAGAGAUACCCAACCCCUCUUAGCAUUAGGGCGAGUCUUAAAGAAAAACAGGAAUAUUUUGGCGGUCGGUUCUACACCCAAGGCUUGGCAUAAAACACCGAACGCUUGAAUGUAGCCCCAGCCGUUCGGGUGUAACUGAGAAGGGGCUACGUUCAAGCAUCGUAAGACAUCCAUUUGAAACCUAGUCAGAGGGAGUCUAACAUACAUAUCAUACAGAAAAGGCAUAUACAUAAAGAAGCAAUCUUUUCCAACCACAUCUUCUCCGUGAAAAACCCUUUCAUCAUUCCUACAGGCUAUUAAUUUAAGGGCACGCUGGUACCCCAGGUUCCUUAGAACGCAGUUGUCCUCUACCCAGCGCACCAGAGUUUCUCGAGAAGAAAAUGAACUUCCUUGUUCCCCAGCCUCCUGGGAGGCCCAUGAGUAUUCUCUUGGGCAGGGAGAACAGCCCUCUUCAGGGCCAUCAACAACCACUCCCCCGUGAACAAAAACCCUAUCCCCGCUAAGUAAAGCAGUGAUACAACCAGUAACCAUCGGUUGGGCAACCUGUGGGUCACUAUGAUCCCCCUCGACAUUAUCAGAAAAAUCGUCAAUGACAGGGGAGGAAGCCAUUGUUACCUGGAAAGGGGUGCGCGACACAGGAGAAAGAAGAAAGUCUGGGGAGGUAAUCACCAAGAGACAGAAAUGAAAAUGAAAACGGUUCACUCCCUCACAUAAUUAAAAGCGUGGAGGUUAUGAAACUGCCUACGUCUUCUACACCGUUAGAUGUGUUUGAUCUAAUGGCUCCCUUUUUGCGACUCUAACGCUACCCCUAGCGUGGGAAAUAUCUCCCUUUCCAAGCUUAAACGACGAGCUCAUCGCGUCAUUUUCAAGCCACUCACACAACUGUAAGACUACUCGGCCUACACAAAGUAAAACAAAAGUAUACCGAACGACGGGCACAACUAAGCCCUUCGGUCAAACAAAGACAAACUCCUUCCUUUGCCUCGGACUUGGGGGGGAUGAUGUACAGUAGUAUGCUUUCAACGGCCGGUAGAACCGAACGGCCCUAAUGGGCCAGCAGCCCAUCACAGCGCCACAUUCUUACUGGGCUAAAGGCCCAAUGCCGGCAUAAAUGGUGUCCACGAAUCCAGAAGCAAGAAUAUAUCUACUAGAUAUAUCCUAACAGAAACAAAGAUAUGUCAAGUAAGACCGUUUAUAUUUAUUGUUAUUCUGUUUAUAUUUUGUUUAUCUUAUAUCAACCCAAAGCCUAUAAAUAAAGGCUGGAGGACUCCAAACAAGUACGUUUUACAAUACACUUCACUCAUAAUUCAUCUAGCAUACUCUUUAUCGUACUUUAUCAAUCCUCUUCCACAGAGGGUCAAAUUCCCUCCUACUGGGAAUUCCACAUACACGCCUAACUUGAGCGUCGGAGUGCCUUUUCAGGUACCUCCCCCCUCCGGUCAAGACUCUUAGAUCACCGGACGGUCGAAGUCAACACAAUAGCGUGCGGUCGAGAUCCAGAAGAAGCGGACAGAAAGACAGAAGACGACGUCACCCAGGUUAGUCCUUCGGUCCCAAAAUUUAUACCGAAACAACAUGUAUAUUAGGAAUCAUUAAAUUAAAGUAAUAAUAAUAUUUUUUAAAUUUACUUAUUAUACAUUUAAUAUAAUAAAGGAAAAUAAUCAUGAAGUUGUUUUAAUUAAACACUUGUGCUCUCUGAUCUUCCAAAAACAAACAUAAUUUAUUACAUGCAUGCAUCGCAAUAUUUCAACAACGUACAUUUGACAACAUUUUUUUCAAUGCUAUGCAUUAAAAGGCUAUUGCAUCAUUUAAAAUAUUUUUUUUCGUUAAAGUUGACAAUGAAUUUGACUUUCGAAAAUGUCCUUCUCAUUUUUGUUUUCAUCUCCCUCCACAGUGCAUUUUUGUUUUCAUUUUGCAUGCGUCUUUUCUCUCCUUUCUCUCUUUCUCUCUCACGAAGCAAGCUUCAUCUUCUUCGGCAAGACUCCACUGAAACAAUAAAAAGCUCUGAUAACAAGGUAUUUUCUUUUCCCUUUCCAUUUUCCAUUUCCCAUUUUCCAUUUCCCCUUUCCCCUUUUUCCCUUUUUCCUUACUCCAUAUUCGUCCUCUCUCUAACCUCUUUUAUCGUUCUCUCUCCUUUCUCUCUUCAAGCUUUCUCCUUUCUCUCUUAAAGCUCACUCCUUUCUCUCUUCAAGCUUUCUCCUUUCUCUCUUNCUCCUUUCUCUCUUCAAGCUUUCUCCUUUCUCUCUUAAAGCUCACUCCUUUCUCUCUUCAAGCUUUCUCCUUUCUCUCUUGAAGUUCACUCCUUUCUCUCUUCAAGCCCUCUGCUUUCUCUCUUCAAGCUCUCUCCUUUCUCUCUUCAAGAUUUCUCUUUUCUCUCUCGUUUCUCUUUAUUUUAGCUCCAUCUUCUUCGGCGAAGCAACCCGACGAGACACAUGUACUCCUUUCCAUUGAUUUUGUUUUAGGAAAUGGAAAACUCUGGUGAUGAGAGCAAGGCAUUUCCAUUAUUCCCUUUCCCUUUUCAUGUUUUCCCUUUCCCUUUUUCCACUUCCUCUUUCUCAUUUUCCAUUUAGCCUUUCCCCUUUCCUCUUUGCCAAUUUGUGUUUCUUGUUUUGUUAAUUAUUUUUUGAAUUGUUCUAACGUAAUUUUUUUUUAUGCAGUUGUGUGUGCAACAUUCUUUCAAAACCAAGUUUGUUGAUGUUUUGAAUGGACGAUUGACUCAUGAGGGGAGGAAUGUCUACUUGAUAAAAACCCAAACGUAAUUACUAGUGUUUUUUGAAUGUUUUGUGGACUGCUCAACCAAUUUGGCAUGGAGCAAGGUGUUGACAACAAUAAACUUAACACAAUAUCAGUUCUAUGUGUUGGGAACACGAAUCAAAGGUGUGUAUAGGUUGACAGGGCAGUUCAUGCAGACUUGGCACAGGUCUGAUGCGGUUGUAAUCGAUUACAGGGGCCAUGUAAUCAGUUACCAGUGAAAACAUCCCAAUUUGUAUCAAAAGUUUUUCAGCGCUACCCAGAAAUGGUUGAAGAACUCCCGAAACGUAAUUACUAGUGUUUUUUGAAUGUUCUGUGCAUUGCUCAACCAUGUUGGCAUGGAGCAAGGUAUUGACAACAAGAAAUUUAACACAAUGUCAGUUCUAUGUGUUGGGAACACAAAUCAAAGGUGUGUAUAGGUUGAAAAGGAAGUUCAUGCAGACUUGGCACAGGUUUGAUGCUGUUGUAAUGGAUUACAGGAGCCUUGUAAUCGAUUAUCAGUGAAAAAAUCCCAAUUUGUACCAAAAGUUUGUAAGCACUACCCAGCCCAAGGUGAAGAGCUCCCCAAACAUAAUUACUAGCGUUUUUUUUAAUGUUUUGUGGAUUGCUCAACCAUGUUGGCAUGGAGCAAGGUCUUGACAACAAAAAAUUUAACACAAUGUCAGUUCUAUGUAUUGGGAACACGAAUCAAAGGUGUGUAUAGGUAUACAGGGCAGUUCAUGCAGACUUGGCACAAGUCUGAUGCUGCUGUAAUAGAUUAGAGGGGCCUUGUAAUCAAUUACUAGUGAAAAAAAUCCCAAUUUGUACCAAAAGUUUGUUAGCGCUACCCAGAAAUGGUGAAGAACUCCCCAAACGUAAUUACCAGUAUUUUUUGAAUGUUUUGUGGAUUGCUCAACCAUGUUGGCAUGGAGCAAGGUGUUGACAACAAGAAAUUUAACACAAUGUCAAUUCUAUGUAUCAGGAACACAAAUCAAAGGUGUUUAUAGUUUGACAGGGCAGUUCAUGCAGACUUGGCACAGGUUUGAUGUUGUUGUAAUCGAUUACAGGGGCCUUGUAAUCGAUUACCAGUGGAAAAAUCCCAAUUUGUUCCAAAAGUUUGUCAACGCUACCCAAAAAUGGCCGAGGAACUCCCAAAACCCCUUAUUAGUGUUUUUUCAAUGUUUUGUGGAUUGCUCAACCCUGUUGGUGAUCGAGCAAGGUGUUAACAACAAGAAAUUUAACGCAAUGUUAGUUCUGUGUUGGGAACACAGAUCAAAGGUGUUUAUAGGUUGAGAGGGUAGUUCAUGCAGACUUGGCACAUGUCUGAUGCUGUUGUAAUCGAUUAAAAGGGUCUUGUAAUCAAUUACAAGCGGCGUUUUGAAGGACCAACACACCCAACCCCCGAAGGAACAACGGUGACAACGAAAAAACGUCUCCUUUCGAGAUAAUUCGCCAACGGUAGCCCUAGGCGAGAGGAUUGCGGUGGCGUCAAUGGCGGACUAAAGCACCAAUGAAACAUUGGACUUUGUAGGUGAAGAAAGAGGAUUGUGGUGGCAUGUCGAGAGUGUGUCGAGAGUUUGGAAUCGUGGAGCGAGACUUUGGAAUGGUGGAAUGAGACUCUGGAAUAAACAACCUGGAGAGAGAGUUUGGAAUGGAAGAAGGUGCGAACAAGUUGCACCAAAGUCCUUUCCAAAAAUGUCCAUUUUAACCUUUUUCAAAAAGCAUUUAAAACAACAAAUGACAGAACAACACGUGUCGUUGUCAAUUUAUUAUCAAAUGGGCGUUGUUGAAGAAACGUUUUCCUUAUUGCAUAUAAACUAAAAUCAUUAAGCUAUUCUAAUGAAAAAUAAUUAUUGCAAUGAACAACUACAAAGUAUUACGAAAAUAAUAAGAAUUUUUUAAACAAUAUCUUAAAAUUAUGAGAAGAAAAUAUUAACUAAUUUCUUUUCCAUCUCAUUUUUUAUCGAUCACAGUAUUUAAUUAAGUCAUUGUUUUUUCAAAAUAACAGUGUAUGUUAAAUGUUAUAUAAAUAAAAAAUAAAAUUCAUAUUUUUAUUUAUAUUAAGAUAAUUACAAACUUAUUAAUAAGUUUCCUUAUAUGUUUUUUAUUUAAGAUAUAAUAUUUAAAUGUAUUUAAAAUUUUGAACAAAUAAAGAUGUAAUUAGAAAAAUAGUAGAGAGAAAAUAAAACUAUGGAUGGAGUAAAAUCAUUAAUGAGCUCUCUUGAAUUUAUUUUGUUACCAAUUAUGUUAAUGUAACGUACUAGUUACCUAUGUAUAAUAUUUAUUAGGUUUAAUGAUCUUUUAUUUGUUUAUGAUUAAUAAUAAAAUAAAAAGAUUAUAUAUAUAUAUAUAAUUAUAUUAAAAGAAAAUGGGGCAAAAAUUAAAUUAAAAUAAAAGGAUAGUUUUAAUUAAAAAGAAAACAGUUUUAUAGUUUAUGUUAAACUUUUAGAAAAGGAAGCUGAACCCAUUUUAUUAAAAAUUUUCCUCUCUCUAUGAAGUUUUUUUUUCUUUCUUUGCCUUCUCUCUAAUCUCUAUACUAAUUCAACCGGUGCAUUUUCGUUUAGGAGGCAUCCCUGCAUUUCUAGAGUUGAGAGCUUUAAUUUGAACCGAUUGGUUUUUCGUUAUUCAGCCGAUAAUCUAUUUCCCCCCUUUCCUUAUGCUUCUAGAGCUUUGAGCAUGCAACAAUUUUGUUGUUGCAUGUGUCUUUUGUUUCCUUCCUUCCAAUCUCUGUUCAAGCUCUAAGAGAUGUUCCUGAUCACAGUUCUGUGAUUUGUAGGGUGCGGUCC
rnacentral:lncRNA from 1 species